AUUGAACGCUGGCGGCAUGCCUUACACAUGCAAGUCGAACGGCAGCACGGGUGCUUGCACCUGGUGGCGAGUGGCGAACGGGUGAGUAAUACAUCGGAACAUGUCCUGUAGUGGGGGAUAGCCCGGCGAAAGCCGGAUUAAUACCGCAUACGAUCCACGGAUGAAAGCGGGGGACCUUCGGGCCUCGCGCUAUAGGGUUGGCCGAUGGCUGAUUAGCUAGUUGGUGGGGUAAAGGCCUACCAAGGCGACGAUCAGUAGCUGGUCUGAGAGGACGACCAGCCACACUGGGACUGAGACACGGCCCAGACUCCUACGGGAGGCAGCAGUGGGGAAUUUUGGACAAUGGGCGAAAGCCUGAUCCAGCAAUGCCGCGUGUGUGAAGAAGGCCUCCGGGUUGUAAAGCACUUUUGUCCGGAAAGAAAUCCUUGACUCUAAUACAGUCGGGGGAUGACGGUACCGGAAGAAUAAGCACCGGCUAACUACGUG
rnacentral:rRNA from 1 species